ACGGGGGUAGCGCAAUUGGUAGCGCACGCGCUUUGGAAGCGUGAGGUUGUGGGUUCGAGCCCGCUCCCCGUACCA
rnacentral:tRNA from 1 species